GAGUGAACUAACAUUCAAAGGAAGGUGCAGCGAUUCGGGACCCCUAUACGAGGCUAGAAGUUUGUAUACAUUUGCCCUGAAGACACCUCUGAAAGGAAGGCGAUUGUCCGGCUGAAUUCCAUAUCCCUUGGUAGGGGCUAGCAAAUGAUUCCAUCAGAACAUCAGGACAAGAUGCGUAUGUGACUGCCAAUUGCUUUGACUUCAUCCGGGGCCCUUGCUGCAAAACCGAGAUUCUCUGCGAAACUUGGUGGACCUUUAGUAGAGGGUUUGAACCAGCUAACACCGAUUUCUUCUGGAGCGGAUGGCGAUAUUUGGGAUUUGCAUGAGGCCUUGAUAUAUCGUGGCUCACCAGAAGAAGAGAAGGGCCUUCGCCAAGCAGCUGUGCAUGGAGGAAGAAGAUUUUGCAGAUAGAGAACCGUCGAGCAGUUAUGGUGGUGUUUGUUUGGUAAGAAGAUAGAUGGCAGCGACGAUAUGGUUCCUGGAUGCCUUUCUGGAUUGCUGACCUUCCUUUAAGAAAACUUCAUGAAUUGUGCAAUAAUAGAUUUACUUAGACUAUGGACUGGUAUGGAUUUUUAGACCCAGUUAAUUACGUAGUCGUCUUCUAUCCGGUGUAAGCCGGCUCUUUGUGCAACAAUUGAUAUAGAUAUGUAUAUUUAAUCCUUUGAGAAAUGUUUCAUUCCUUUAAAACAUAAAAAUAUUCCUAGGAUAAAUAGUGUAGUAAUUUUCUUUCCUCUCGGUGCCAGCCGGAUAGUAUUUUCAUAUGACUAUACAUAUAAAUUUAUUCUUUCAGAAUACUCAAUGCAAACUAUGUAAAAGUCUGAAGUUAUCUGAAAUUUUCAAAAUUCUGAAUGUAGCUAGAUGUAUAAGAUGUGUCUUGUCAAGUGAAUUGUCCCUUGUUAUAAUGUGUCAAUUAAAAGAUUAAAAGCUAAAGAAGGAGAAGCUUUAGAAGCUUCAGAAGAUCAAGAACCAGGUUACAAAAUCUGUUCUGAUCUGGAAGAACUGAAAUUUUAAGUUUGCUGUGAAAGGCUAUAAGUCUGUUGAGAAUCGAGACUUCGUUAGAAGUAGUAUUCUGGUAAGUAAUUAUCUGAUUAAGUUCUGUUUCAGUUAUUUGGCUAUAAAAUUGUUUUCAAAUAAUAGUGAAGUUAUUGCUAGGUUUAUCUAUUUGGUAAUUGUAAAUUUCUGUUUCAGCUCGUCUAUUUUAAUCUAGUUCAUUCCACCCGAUGUUUCCUUUAAUUAUGUUAUGUUUUUAAUGUUGUUUUUAUUGACUUUAU